rnacentral:lncRNA from 1 species
AUAUUUUUUACAAAGUAUAAUUUCAUUUUAAAAUGUUCCAUAAAAGAGGGUCUGAUUGGGGUUUACGGAAUAUAGAAUAAUGGGCAAAAAAUUGCAGAAUGAAAUGCAAAAAAGAAAAAAAGAAAAAAAGUAUAAUGGGGUGCUAAAAUAUAAAGAAUAAAGAAUAUUGGUAAUACUAAAUAAAAAAAUAAUAUCAGAUUAUUACAUGGCAUUUUUCAUAUCGCAUGUAUUAUCAGCCCUAAGUUCAAUAUCAGCCCAAGAGCCGCCAUGGCUCGAGGGCUGAUAUUGACCGAGGGUUGAUAAUACAUGCGAUAUGAAAAAUGACAUGUUAUGGUCUUUUUAUCAUAUGCUUCAACAAUGUAGAAAAAUAACAGAUUCAUGGAUUGAUCCUUUUACGUGGUUCCCAAACAGAAGUUCAAAGAGUGAAAAGUUCACGGACGUC